rnacentral:rRNA from 1 species
GACGAACGCUGGCGGCGUGCCUAAUACAUGCAAGUAGAACGCUGAAGGAGGAUCUUGCCCUUCUGGAUGAGUUGCGAACGGGUGAGUAACGCGUAGGUAACCUGCCUGGUAGCGGGGGAUAACUAUUGGAAACGAUAGCUAAUACCGCAUAAUAGUAGAUGUUGCAUGAUAUUUACUUAAAAGGUGCAAUUGCACCACUACCAGAUGGACCUGCGUUGUAUUAGCUAGUUGGUGGGGUAACGGCUCACCAAGGCGACGAUACGUAGCCGACCUGAGAGGGUGAUCGGCCACACUGGGACUGAGACACGGCCCAGACUCCUACGGGAGGCAGCAGUGGGGAAUCUUCGGCAAUGGGCGAAAGUCUGACCGAGCAACGCCGCGUGAGUGAAGAAGGUUUUCGGGUCGUAAAGCUCUGUUGUAAGGGAAGAACGAGUGUGAGAGUGGAAAGUUCACACUGGGACGGUAUCUUACCAGAAAGAGACGCCUAACUACGU